ensembl:lncRNA
CACACAUCAAGAAAAACUACUGGGCAGCCCAGGGCUUUUCCUGGUCAAAGAGCUGGAUUCUUUCACGCAAGGCAUUCCUAGGACUGCUCAGCUUGCCCGAAGUGGAGAUGCAAAUGGAGCAUGUGGACCAAGCAGACAGAGGCAUGGGCCACCCACUCUCAGAGAUGUGGGAAAAUGAAUCGGAAUAACAAGAGAAAAUGAUUCCAAACAGAAGAGGAAAGUGACGAUGUGAUGAAAAGGAAAAGAGAUUGGGAUUUGAUGGAGAGUCACAAAGUCACAAUGAUGCGCUCUUUUUUAAUGGAUGAGGAAACUGGAGCUCAGGGUUUGAGUCACUGACCUAAGUGAUCACCAACUGCUGUGGCUCAGAGUGCCCUGCCGGAGGACCAAAAUAAUGAGUCCAAAUGGAUCUGCCUGACCUUGAACUGGAGCCUCCAAAAUUCUGAGCAUAAAUAAAAUGUUUUUCUCUAUAAGUUGCUUACGUCAGAGAUUUCUUUAUGGUGAUGGAAAGCAGACUAAUACAUCACCAGAGAAUGGUCAAUGGAUUGGUGAUACCCUGAUAAACAAUACUCAGUUUGUUCAAUACUGCAUCCUCAGCUCUUAACGUAGCAUUUGGUAGAUAGCAACCUCUAAUACAUC